rnacentral:rRNA from 1 species
UACGUAGGGUGCAAGCGUUAAUCGGAAUUACUGGGCGUAAAGCGUGCGCAGGCGGCUAUGCAAGACAGAUGUGAAAUCCCCGGGCUCAACCUGGGAACUGCAUUUGUGACUGCAUAGCGUAGAGUACGGUAGAGGGGGAUGGAAUUCCGCGUGUAGCAGUGAAAUGCGUAGAUAUGCGGAGGAACACCGAUGGCGAAGGCAAUCCCCUGGACCUGUACUGACGCUCAUGCAC